GAUGAACGCUAGCGGCAGGCCUAACACAUGCAAGUCGAACGAGACCUUCGGGUCUAGUGGCGCACGGGUGCGUAACGCGUGGGAAUCUGCCCUUUGCUUCGGAAUAACAGUUAGAAAUGACUGCUAAUACCGGAUGAUGUCUUCGGACCAAAGAUUUAUCGGCAAAGGAUGAGCCCGCGUAGGAUUAGGUAGUUGGUGGGGUAAAGGCCUACCAAGCCGACGAUCCUUAGCUGGUCUGAGAGGAUGAUCAGCCACACUGGGACUGAGACACGGCCCAGACUCCUACGGGAGGCAGCAGUGGGGAAUAUUGGACAAUGGGCGAAGACCUGAUCCAGCAAUGCCGCGUGAGUGAUGAAGG
rnacentral:rRNA from 1 species